GUGUAAACCAAACGAUUCGGAAAGUGUGCAGGAGAAGUGUAAAUCCUGCAAUCAGGAUUUCCCCCUCUAUAAACUUGAGAAUCACUUCAACGAAUGUGAGAGGUCAUACAUUGACUUAACCGAAGAUGAUGAGAAAGAAA